rnacentral:rRNA from 1 species
AGAGUUUGAUCCUGGCUCAGGAUGAACGCUAGCGGCAGGCCUAAUACAUGCAAGUCGAACGCGAUUGAGGAGCUUGCUCCUCAUGAGAGUGGCGUACGGGUGCGUAACGCGUGAGCAACCUACCAUUGUCUGGGGGAUAGCCCGAAGAAAUUCGGAUUAAUACCGCAUAACAUCAUUGAACAGCAUUGUUUAAUGAUCAAACAUUUAUGGGACAACGAUGGGCUCGCGUGACAUUAGCUAGUUGGAGUGGUAACGGCACACCAAGGCUACGAUGUCUAGGGGAUCUGAGAGGAUGACCCCCCACACUGGGACUGAGACACGGCCCAGACUCCUACGGGAGGCAGCAGUAAGGAAUAUUGGUCAAUGGAGGCAACUCUGAACCAGCCAUGCCGCGUGCAGGAAGAAUGCCCUCUGGGUUGUAAACUGCUUUUACCAGGGAAUAAACCCUUCUACGUGUAGAAGGCUGAAUGUACCUGAGGAAUAAGGAUCGGCUAACUCCGUGCCAGCAGCCGCGGUAAUACGGAGGAUCCAAGCGUUAUCCGGAUUUAUUGGGUUUAAAGGGUGCGUAGGCGGCUUGUUAAGUCAGGGGUGAAAGACGAUGGCUCAACCAUCGCAGUGCCUUUGAUACUGACGAGCUUGAAUGUACUUGAGGUAGGCGGAAUGUGACAAGUAGCGGUGAAAUGCAUAGAUAUGUCACAGAACACCGAUUGCGAAGGCAGCUUACUAAAGUAUGAUUGACGCUGAGGCACGAAAGCGUGGGGAUCAAACAGGAUUAGAUACCCUGGUAGUCCACGCCCUAAACGAUGAAUACUCGAUGUUGGCGAUAUACAGUCAGCGUCCAAGC